GGCUCAGGACGAACGCUGGCGGCGUGCUUAACACAUGCAAGUCGAGCGGUAAGGCCCUUUCGGGGUACACGAGCGGCGAACGGGUGAGUAACACGUGGGUGACCUGCCCCCUACUCUGGGAUAAGCCUGGGAAACUGGGUCUAAUACCGGAUAUGACUACUGGUUGCAUGACUGGUGGUGGAAAGUUCUUCGGUGGGGGAUGGGCCCGCGGCCUAUCAGCUUGUUGGUGGGGUGAUGGCCUACCAAGGCGACGACGGGUAGCCGGCCUGAGAGGGCGACCGGCCACACUGGGACUGAGACACGGCCCAGACUCCUACGGGAGGCAGCAGUGGGGAAUAUUGCGCAAUGGGCGGAAGCCUGACGCAGCGACGCCGCGUGGGGGAUGACGGCCUUCGGGUUGUAAACCUCUUUCGGCCCCGACGAAGCGUGAGUGACGGUAGGGGUAGAAGAAGCACCGGCCAACUACGUGCCAGCAGCCGCGGUAAUACGUAGGGUGCGAGCGUUGUCCGGAAUUAUUGGGCGUAAAGAGCUCGUAGGCGGUCUGUCGCGUCGAUCGUGAAAACUUGGGGCUUAACCCUGAGCUUGCGAUCGAUACGGGCAUGACUGGAGUUCGGCAGGGGAGACUGGAAUUCCUGGUGUAGCGGUGAAAUGCGCAGAUAUCAGGAGGAACACCGGUGGCGAAGGCGGGUCUCUGGGCCGAUACUGACGCUGAGGAGCGAAAGCGUGGGGAGCGAACAGGAUUAGAUACCCUGGUAGUCCACGCCGUAAACGGUGGGCGCUAGGUGUGGGGGCCAUUCCACGGUCUCUGUGCCGUAGCUAACGCAUUAAGCGCCCCGCCUGGGGAGUACGGCCGCAAGGCUAAAACUCAAAGGAAUUGACGG
rnacentral:rRNA from 1 species